rnacentral:misc_RNA from 1 species
AACGCACGAGACCUGCGGACCUGCGGAGGGAUCAUUACAAGUGACCCCGGUCUAACCACCGGGAUGUUCAUAACCCUUUGUUGUCCGACUCUGUUGCCUCCGGGGCGACCCUGCCUUCGGGCGGGGGCUCCGGGUGGACACUUCAAACUCUUGCGUAACUUUGCAGUCUGAGUAAACUUAAUUAAUAAAUUAAAACUUUUAGCAACGGAUCUCU